rnacentral:misc_RNA from 1 species
AAAGUCGUAACAAGGUUUCCGUAGGUGAACCUGCGGAAGGAUCAUUACCAAUCCAAAAAUACAAACCACUGUGAUCCUGUAAACGUCUUUGGGUGGAGAGGAGUUUAUUGAAAGAUAUACUUUUUUUCCACCCAACAUUAUAAACCCCUUAAACAAUUAUGUUGAAUUUAAAAAACUCUUAGAUUUUUCUUGUAAUAAAGAAAAGAUAAGAAGAAAAAAACAUAAAAUACAACUUUUAACGGUGGAUCUCUUGGCUCAU